UACGAGGGGGGCGAGCGUUGUUCGGAAUUAUUGGGCGUAAAGGGCGCGUAGGCGGUUGGAUAAGUCUUGUGUGAAAUCUUCGGCUCGAACUCGAAGUCUGACACGAGAAACUAUCUGACUUGAGGGAGGCAGAGGAGAAUGGAAUUCCCGGUGUAGUGGUGAUAUGCGUAGAUAUCGGGAGGAACACCAGUGGCGAAGGCGGUUCUCUGGGCCUUACCUGACGCUGAGACGCGGAAAGCGUGGGGGAGCGAACCGG
rnacentral:rRNA from 1 species